GCGCUUCUACCAGCUCACCAAGCUCCUGGAUUCUGUGCAGCCUAUUGCAAGAGAGCUGCAUCAGUUCACCUUUGACCUGCUAAUCAAGUCCCAUAUGGUUAGCGUGGACUUUCCAGAAAUGAUGGCAGAGAUCAUCUCUGUGCAAGUGCCCAAGAUCCUUUCUGGAAAAGUCAAGCCCAUCUAUUUCCACACACAGUGAAGCUUUGGAUGCUCUCAUUUCCCUAGCCCAUCCCACACUCCUUUUCAGAUGUCUUCUGCUUGUUCUAACUGCACUACUUCUCUGCAGUGCCUUGGGGAAUUUCCUCUAUUGAUGUACAGUCUGUCAAGAACAUAUUCCUGAGUUCUAUUUGAUGGGCUUUUUUCUCUUUUCCUCCUCUAUUUUUCUUCCUCCCUCUCUAUUUUACCCUCCCAUGGCACCUUCAGAUUCUUCUCCCUGUUGUGACUCCUAUCUGUGUUUUGAUGGUGUAGUAUUUCUUUGAUGAUGAUGAGCCUUAUGUGGCCCAGUGUCAAGUUGUGCUUGUUUACAGCACUGCACUGUGUGCCAGCCACACAAACGUUUACUUAACUUAUGCCACGGGAAGUCUAGAGAGCUAAAAGUAUCUGGGGUAAAAAACAAACACCAAAAAAAAAAAAAA